rnacentral:rRNA from 1 species
AGUCGAGGGGUAGAGAGAGCUUGUUUCUUGAGACCGGCGCACGGGUGCGUAACGCGUAUGCAACCUACCUUCAUCUGGGGGAUAGCCCGGAGAAAUCCGGAUUAACACCGCAUAAAAUCACAGUCCCACCUGGGACAAUGAUCAAAUAUUUAUAGGAUGGAGAUGGGCAUGCGUGUCAUUAGCUAGUUGGCGGGGUAACGGCCCACCAAGGCGACGAUGACUAGGGGAUCUGAGAGGAUGGCCCCCCACACUGGUACUGAGACAUGGACCAGACUCCUACGGGAGGCAGCAGUAAGGAAUAUUGGUCAAUGGAGGCAACUCUGAACCAGCCAUGCCGCGUGCAGGAAGACUGCCCUAUGGGUUGUAAACUGCUUUUAUUCGGGAAUAAACCUAUUUACGUGUAGAUAGCUGAAUGUACCGA